rnacentral:misc_RNA from 1 species
GAUGAAGAACGCAGCUAAAUGCGAUAAGUAAUGUGAAUUGCAGAAUUCAGUGAAUCAUCGAAUCUUUGAACGCACAUUGCGCCCGCCAGUAUUCUGGCGGGCAUGCCUGUCUGAGCGUCAUUUCAACCCUCAUGCCCCUAGGGCGUGGUGUUGGGGAUCGGCCAAAGCCCGCGAGGGACGGCCGGCCCCUAAAUCUAGUGGCGGACCCGUCGUGGCCUCCUCUGCGAAGUAGUGAUAUUCCGCAUCGGAGAGCGAUGAGCCCCUGCCGUUAAACCCCCAACUUUCCAAGGUUGACCUCAGAUCAGGUAGGAAUACCCGCUGAACUUAAGCAUAUCAAUAAGCGGAGGA